rnacentral:misc_RNA from 1 species
UCCGGCUUGGCGCCGGCAGUCUCCCUAGAGUCCCCACCAUUACGUGCUGGCAACUAAGGACGGGGGUUGCGCUCGUUGCGGGACUUAACCCAACACCUCACGGCACGAGCUGACGACAGCCAUGCACCACCUGUCAGGGGCCCUUACGGACACUGCAUCUCUGCAGCUCUUCCCCUGAUGUCAAACCCAGGUAGAACCUUA